GUUCGGAAUUACUGGGCGUAAAGCGCACGUAGGCGGAUAUUUAAGUCAGGGGUGAAAUCCCAGAGCUCAACUCUGGAACUGCCUUUGAUACUGGGUAUCUCGAGUAUGGAAGAGGUGAGUGGAAUUCCGAGUGUAGAGGUGAAAUUCGUAGAUAUUCGGAGGAACACCAGUGGCGAAGGCGGCUCACUGGUCCAUUACUGACGCUGAGGUGCGAAAGCGUGGGGAGCAAACAGG
rnacentral:rRNA from 1 species